GACGUAGGGAGCGAGCGUUGUCCGGAUUCAUUGGGCGUAAAGCGCGCGUAGGCGGUUUGGUAAGUCGGAUGUGAAAUCCCGAGGCUCAACCUCGUGACUGCAUCCGAUACUGCCCGACUAGAGGUAGGUAGGGGAGAUCGGAAUUCCUGGUGUAGCGGUGAAAUGCGCAGAUAUCAGGAGGAACACCAAUGGCGAAGGCAGCUCGCUGGGACGGUACUGACGCUGAGGCGCGAAAGCGUGGGGAGCAAACAGG
rnacentral:rRNA from 1 species